rnacentral:rRNA from 1 species
AGGAAGGUAGUGUAGUUAACACCUGCACUAUUUGACGUUACCUACAGAAGAAGCACCGGCUAACUCCGUGCCAGCAGCCGCGGUAAUACGGAGGGUGCGAGCGUUAAUCGGAAUUACUGGGCGUAAAGCGCAUGCAGGCGGCCUGUUAAGUCAGAUGUGAAAGACCCGGGGCGUUAACCUCGGAAUUGCAUUUGUAAACUAGGCAGGCUAGAGUCUUGUAGAGGGGGUAGGAAUUUCAGGUGUAGCGGUGAAAUGCGUAGAGAUCUGAAGGAAUACCAGUGGCGAAGGCGGCCCCCUCGGACAAAGACUGACGCUCAGAUGCGAAAGCGUGGGGAGCAAACAGGAUUAGAUACCCUGGUAG